AAUGAUAUUGCAACAUGGCAGGGACAGGAAGAUUAAUCUGAUUUCAGCAAUUUUUCAAACAUUUCAAGCAGUGAUGGCCCCAUAAAUUCAUUUAUAAGAAUAUACUAAGGAUCUGUCAAACCAUUUGCGUUUUCUCCAAUCUCUGAACAUACCCUAGCUGGGUUGUAUGGAAAAUUUCUGACGUACCAGAGGCAAUCGUUUUGCUGCAUGCUGUAGGCGAAAAUGGUAUUUUUUCCAUUGACUCUACUAGCACAUUAAAAUUAAGAAUAUGUCAAAGACAAUUAAGGAAUAGAAUGGCGAAGAAGUAAGUCAAAGUGCUGCCGUCCCGGUCAUAAGGAAGAAAGCAAAAGCAGACCGAUGAUCUACCCCUACCUUUUGUAAAGAAUACUGGUUGAAAACGAGAUACAUUAUACAUGUACAAGUUUGAUCAGAAAUACAUGUAAUAUACAAGUUCUAUAAAAUUGAAGAAUUGUGCAAGCAGUGUGCUUCUCAUAGGCAGUUUGGACCAAGGAGUGUGACAGUGGUUUUAGAAGAGGAAAUAGCAACAGUUGUCCAUGUGCAGCAGUAUUUAUUGGAUCCAACCAAAUCAGAAGAGAAAACCCUGAGCCAAAUUCAUAUGGGUUUUCUAAAAGAAGAGGAUCACAGGAAAGGAACUGUUUCAUUUACCCAACACUUUGAGCUGACUGAUCAAGGGAAAGAUGAAGCAGGUUACAAAUGAAAGUUUUGCUGGAAGCACAGAGUUUAAUACUGAACAAUACAUGUAUUACCUCUGUCCGGUCUCAUCAAUAACAGAAAGUAUUUGCAAAAUUUUGCAAUCUCAAAAAUCUGGUGGCAGUUGGAAAUCACUCUUACUGUUACAGAAAUUCAAGAUCAAGUAUGAACACUGCAGCAAAUAUGUAUGCUACAAAAUGUGAAAGCAUUAGAGAGUCUCAAAAAUUAUUGAUACAAAGAGUCAAAUCAGGUAGAGUUGCUGAUGGAGUCCAGAGAGAGCCAACAGGAGAAAGCAGGGGUUUGGCAUUAGAGUGCAGAAGAAAGCAAUACAGUUCUCCCAAAAAGAAAAGGACUGCUUGUGCAUGAUAUGUGAAGAAUGUGAAAGAACAGAAAAAUGCCCAGAUAGUAUCUCAUUGGCAGAUGAACUGAAGGAAGUAACUGAUGAAAAUGGUGAUAGACUUUUAAAGAAAGACAAAUGGCUAAAUAUUUCACAAGUAAGAGGAUAUAUUGCCUAAUAUUUGUCAAUAAAAUCUAAGAGUGUCUCUGUACCUCCCUCUAUCAAAAAUCAAUUGUUGUCUGAAAGAUGUUUUGAAGAUGUUUGUAUUGAUGAAGAUGAAAAACUUGCAGAGAUUGUUUCUGCUUUUGGCUCAAAUGAAUAUGUUGUUCAAAUGAUUGGGUUGGUAAAUGAUGUGUUUACUUCUGUAAAUAUUCAAUAAAUUUAUAUAUGCAUACAUGUUUUGAAAUGAAA